UGAGGAAUAUUGCGCAAUGGGGGAAACCCUGACGCAGCGACGCCGCGUGGGUGAUGAAGGCCCUUGGGUCGUAAAGCCCUGUCAAGUGGGAAGAAGUGGCAGCGGGUUAAUACCCCGUUGUUUUGACGGUACCACUAAAGGAAGCACCGGCUAACUCCGCGCCAGCAGCCGCGGUAAUACGGAGGGUGCGAGCGUUGUUCGGAAUUACUGGGCGUAAAGAGCGCGUAGGCGGCCAGGUAAGUCAGAUGUGAAAGCCCACGGCUCAACCGUGGAAGUGCAUCUGAAACUGCUAGGCUUGAGUAUGGGAGGGGAAAGUGGAAUUCCUGGUGUAGAGGUGAAAUUCGUAGAUAUCAGGAGGAACACCGGUGGCGAAGGCGACUUUCUGGACCAAUACUGACGCUGAGGCGCGAAAGCGUGGGGAGCAAACAGG
rnacentral:rRNA from 1 species